rnacentral:rRNA from 1 species
UACGAAGGGGGCUAGCGUUGCUCGGAAUUACUGGGCGUAAAGCGCACGUAGGCGGCUUUUUAAGUCGGGGUGAAAUCCUGGAGCUCAACUCCAGAACUGCCUUCGAUACUGGAGAGCUUGAGUCCGGGAGAGGUGAGUGGAACUGCGAGUGUAGAGGUGAAAUUCGUAGAUAUUCGCAAGAACACCAGUGGCGAAGGCGGCUCACUGGCCCGGUACUGACGCUGAGGUGCGAAAGCGUGGGGAGCAAACAGG